rnacentral:lncRNA from 1 species
CGGCUCCGCGCCCGCAGCCUCCCCAAGCCGGGGCUUCCCGCGACGCCUGCUGCAGCCACCUCGUCUCUGGCCCGCCGGCCGCCGGGAGGGAGGAGGAGGAGGAGAGAGGGAGGGAGGAGGGCGGCGAGGGAGAGGGGGCGGCGGGGAGGGAGAGAGGGUCCCGGGUGGGGGGAGGAGGGGCGAGCGCGGGCCGCGGCCAAGGGCUAGCGCGCGGGGAGGGCGCCGAGGGGCGGGGGCGGAGAGGGGGAGCACCCGCCGCGCCGGCCUGCCGCCCCCCCCCCCCCCGCCGCCGCCCAGUCACCAUCGCCGCCUCCGUCCCGCUCGGGGCCGGGCGUCCGGGGGGAGGGUCGGGCGCGGCGGUCCCCCGGCGCGGCGAGCGGGGCGGGCCGGCGGGCGGACGAGGCCCGGCCUCCGGAGGGGAGGGUCCUGCGGGCCCGGCGGGUGUUGGCGAAAGGGGAUCCCCGGGGGGAGGGGCGGAGGCCGGGGCCUGGGAGCCGCUCGCUGCGCCCGCCCGGCGGCGGUGCCUCCCGGAUCCAGCGAGGGUCCCCGGGCCGUGCCGGGAACCUCCGGGACGGGUGUCUCCGGAGCGCCGAGAGCGCGCACGGCCGGCGGGGUGGCGGGAGCGGCGAAGUCGGAGUCGGAGGGAGAGGCCCGGCUCCUCGGGCGGAGCGCGGGCCCCGGAGCGGUUCCCCAGGCUGGGCCCGAGCGCGAGAACGUCCGCCCGGUGGGCCCGGGGAAUCCAGAGCGGGCGGUGGGCUGGGGUGCCUGCACCCCCAUCCUCGCCUUCCUGUCCCGGAGAGGAGCCUCCGGCAUAAGUUUCCCUGUGCCGUGGGUCUCCAGGUGAGGAAACUCAGUGCGACGGUCACAAAGAAUAUUCGUGAAUAGAUUGCUUGGGGUCCUAAAACAUCCUCCCCUGCACUCAAAAUACGGUUUCGGGGUGAAUUUCGAAGGCGCUUUAGGCGACGGUCUAAAAAGCCAACCUCGUUUGGAGAGCAGACUCACUAACUCCCCACCACAGCGCCCAAGGAGGGAGCAACGACACGGUCAAAUGGCCACGAGUUAAGAAACAUGCUGAGUCGACCGUACUUCCUUCCAUACAUCUGUUGAGCUCUGAUUAUAUGCCAGGGACUGUUCUAGGCACUGGGGAUGCAUCAGUGAACAAAGAGAAGCACAGAAAUGCCUGCCUUCAUAGACUGUGCGUCCUCGAACGUGGCAACACAGGAUGGGUUGACCUUGAAUCUCUAUGGUAUGAUUUAUGGAUGUCCUGAACCUUGUACCUCCACAUCAAUGUCUUGACCAUGGCUGUAGCCACAGGGCUUAGAACAGCGUCUGGCACAUGAACCUGUCUAGGUGGGACACUGUUGGACACUUACUUAGGACAAACGAAAACUUCUGUGUGCUACUUGAAAGAGAAAGUACGCCCAGCGUUCCUUUCCAGAACUGGCAGUUACCACCACUCGCACUUUGGCUUCCGACCAGCUUUGACUGCAGGCUGGAGAAACUAUGUGGAGAGAAAGACAGAAAGAGACACCUGAGUGGUCCCAGAGAUUCCAUCGCCUGGCGAUCCGGCUCUUCCCAGUCCUGCACCAGACACAUGAGGGAGGGAGUCUUCAAAAGGAGCCCAGCCCCAGCCGCCAUGUGAAUGCAGCCUCCUGAGAGAUCCCAAACCAGAGCAACCCAGCC